rnacentral:sRNA from 2 species
AGGGGGAAUUCGGAUAUUUGCCAAGGACUUCUUGAGCCUGCCCAGGAUUCAAAUUUGAAGCCAUGCUAAGACAAGUACCUAGGGUAUUCAACUCUAGCCAGAGGUGAUUUCAUUCCAUGUCAAACACACCGGCUUCUCACCAUCACUUCAAGAAGGGUAGAAUUGGAGAAUGGGGGUUAGAAAUUGGAGGGUUUGUUAGGGAAAAAUAGAGCCUAAGAAACAUAGAAAAAAAAACCAAUCCCCCAGAGAAUGAUGAAUAGUGACUGGUAGUUACACAAUUCCACAUGUGCAGAGCAACGGCUGGCUGCAGAAGAGCAGGCUGGCUGCAGCCAUCCGUGGACUGGGUACGGGGCAGGUAACGAGGGCGGAGAACUGUGGGCGGCGGCAUCGGCAGCGGGCAUACAUCAACCAGUUCGCGGUAUACGGUAUACGGAUCUGUACAUGAACGGGGACGAUAGAUUAUAUUGUGCCGAUGAUGGACGGGCAUAUCACAUGAUUCCGCCCAGACCGGCUCUGCCAAGACCCACAGACCGUCUUGGCAUCGGCGAUGAAAUGCCAAGACAGGCGCCAAGAUCUCCGCCAAGACCGGACUCGUAUUUGGGCGGUUGGUCCGGUAUUGGUAAUGUCGCCGAUUAUUUGCGGU